rnacentral:rRNA from 1 species
UACGGAGGAUGCGAGCGUUAUCCGGAUUUAUUGGGUUUAAAGGGUGCGCAGGCGGAUUUUUAAGUCAGCGGUCAAAUCGUGGGGCUCAACCCCAUCCAGCCGUUGAAACUGGGGAUCUAGAGUGUGCGAGAGGUAUGCGGAAUGCGUGGUGUAGCGGUGAAAUGCAUAGAUAUCACGCAGAACCCCGAUUGCGAAGGCAGCAUACCGGUGCACAACUGACGCUCAGGCACGGAAGCGUGGGUAUCGAACAGG